rnacentral:snoRNA from 1 species
AUGCCCUGAUGUGGAAAUUCCCUUUGAUACUCCUUGAACCGAUCCCAUGCCUCAAACAACGACUCAUCUCGCUUUUGCUCGAAAGAUUGAAUCAUAUGCCU